rnacentral:ncRNA from 1 species
GCAGAGUAGAUGACCGUGCGUUAAGUGCUGUCGGGACGGGGAGUUGCCUGACAGACGAAGGAUUUUCCCGCGGUUCGGCCGUCGCAUCCCGCUGC